GUAUAAGCUUUCAUGUGCAUGCAUACUUCUUCAGAUACUUCUUCAGGUAUCUGAAGAAGUGUGCAUGUACACAAAAGCUUAUAC